GACGAACGCUGGCGGCGUGCUUAACACAUGCAAGUCGAGCGAGGCCCAUCCUUCGGGGUGGUGCCCUAGCGGCGAACGGGUGAGUAACACGUGGGCAACCUGCCCUCAGCUCUGGGAUAACUCCAAGAAAUUGGUGCUAAUACCGGAUGUGACCGCUGACCGCAUGGUCUGGUGGUGGAAAGAUUUAUCGGCUGAGGAUGGGCCCGCGGCCUAUCAGCUUGUUGGGGGGUGAUGGCCUACCAAGGCGACGACGGGUAGCCGGCCUGAGAGGGUGACCGGCCACACUGGGACUGAGACACGGCCCAGACUCCUACGGGAGGCAGCAGUGGGGAAUAUUGCGCAAUGGGCGGAAGCCUGACGCAGCGACGCCGCGUGAGGGAUGACGGCCU
rnacentral:rRNA from 1 species